UCGGCAACCCAAAAAUUCCAUUUGUUUCCUUUUCGUCGACAUCAUCGCCAUUGGGUCACGCUUUCAGUUAACAAAGUUAUUUUGCUAAUCACGUUAAAACAGAGACGAAUCGUGAAGAUUAGGUGUGCGGUACAACAACAGUGCCACUUGACAAGACUUUGAAAAGGGCCCGGGGCAGCAUGGCGCUGGUCUGUUCCAAUGUCUCGGUGGAUCUCGGGGCAUCACUGGACGACAGUUAUGAACACCGGCUAUACGUCGGACUUCAGUUCCGAGGCGAGUCAUUCAAGACGUCAUCACUAGAUGUGAAAGACGGAUGUUCGUCUCAGCCUGUCAGGUGGAACAAACAGG